CCUACGGGUGGCAGCAGUGAGGAAUAUUGGUCAAUGGACGAGAGUCUGAACCAGCCAAGUAGCGUGAAGGAUGACUGCCCUAUGGGUUGUAAACUUCUUUUAUAUGGGAAUAAAAUGUUCCACGUGUGGGAUUUUGUAUGUACCAUAUGAAUAAGGAUCGACUAACUCCGUGCCAGCAGCCGCGGUAAUACGGAGGAUCCGAGCGUUAUCCGGAUUUAUUGGGUUUAAAGGGAGCGUAGGUGGAUUGUUAAGUCAGUUGUGAAAGUUUGCGGCUCAACCGUAAAAUUGCAGUUGAAACUGGCAGUCUUGAGUACAGUAGAGGUGGGCGGAAGUCGUGGUGUAGCGGUGAAAUGCUUAGAUAUCACGAAGAACUCCGAUUGCGAAGGCAGUUCACUGGACUGCAACUGACACUGAGGCUCGAAAGUGUGGGUAUCAAACAGGAUUAGAUACCCGAGUAGUC
rnacentral:rRNA from 1 species